GCAGUCGANNGGCAGCACGGGGGCAACCCUGGUGGCGAGUGGCGAACGGGUGAGUAAUACAUCGGAACGUGUCCUGUAGUGGGGGAUAGCCCGGCGAAAGCCGGAUUAAUACCGCAUACGAUCUACGGAAGAAAGCGGGGGAUCUUCGGACCUCGCGCUAUAGGGGCGGCCGAUGGCAGAUUAGCUAGUUGGUGGGGUAAAGGCCUACCAAGGCGACGAUCUGUAGCUGGUCUGAGAGGACGACCAGCCACACUGGGACUGAGACACGGCCCAGACUCCUACGGGAGGCAGCAGUGGGGAAUUUUGGACAAUGGGGGAAACCCUGAUCCAGCAAUGCCGCGUGUGUGAAGAAGGCCUUCGGGUUGUAAAGCACUUUUGUCCGGAAAGAAAACUUCGGGGCUAAUACCUCUGGAGGAUGACGGUACCGGAAGAAUAAGCACCGGCUAACUACGUGCCAGCAGCCGCGGUAAUACGUAGGGUGCGAGCGUUAAUCGGAAUUACUGGGCGUAAAGCGUGCGCAGGCGGUCUGUUAAGACAGAUGUGAAAUCCCCGGGCUUAACCUGGGAACUGCAUUUGUGACUGGCAGGCUAGAGUAUGGCAGAGGGGGGUAGAAUUCCACGUGUAGCAGUGAAAUGCGUAGAGAUGUGGAGGAAUACCGAUGGCGAAGGCAGCCCCCUGGGCCAAUACUGACGCUCAUGCACGAANGCGUGGGGAGCAANCAGGAUUAGAUACCCUGGUAGUCCACGCCCUAAACGAUGUCAACUAGUUGUUGGGGAUUCAUUUCCUUAGUAACGUAGCUAACGCGUGAAGUUGACCGCCUGGGGAGUACGGUCGCAAGAUUAAAACUCAAAGGAAUUGACGGGGACCCGCACAAGCGGUGNNNNNUNNGNNUUAUUNCGAUGCAACGCGAAAAAACNUUACCUACCCUUGA
rnacentral:rRNA from 1 species